rnacentral:misc_RNA from 1 species
GAUGAAGAACGCAGCGAAAUGCGAUAAGUAGUGUGAACUGCAGAAUUCAGUGAAUCAUCGAAUCUUUGAACGCACAUUGCGCCCCUUGGUAUCCCGAGGGGCAUGCCUGUUCGAGCGUCAUUUCACCACUCAAGCCUGGCUUGGUGUUGGGCGACGUCCCCUUUGGGGACGCGCCUCGAAACGCUCGGCGGCGUGGCACCGGCUUUAAGCGUAGCAGAAUCUUUCGCUUUGGAAGUCGGGGCCCCGUCUGCCGGAAGACCUACUCGCAAGGUUGACCUCGGAUCAGGCAGGGAUACCCGCUGAACUUAAGCAUAUCAAUAAGCGGAGGA